rnacentral:SRP_RNA from 1 species
CCGUACUAGAUGGGGUGGUAGCGGUGCCCUGUAACCUGCAAGCCGCUAUAGCAGGAUCGAAGGCCGUGCUGAGGGCUUCUCCUUUGGGGGUCUGGCCCUGAUAAGUGGUGUUGACAAUUGGGUCUCACGCAAUGAAGCUUUGCGAACCCCGUCAGGUCCGGGAGGAAGCAGCGGUAAGCAAAUGUCUUCAUGUGCCGUGAGGGUACCUGGUUCGAGCUAACUGUCAGGGUAACGCCUUGGAGGAGAUGUUCGAAGCCGGUGUACGG